rnacentral:rRNA from 1 species
UACGUAGGGUGCGAGCGUUAAUCGGAAUUACUGGGCGUAAAGCGUGCGCAGGCGGUUCGUUGUGUCCGUCGUGAAAGCCCCGGGCUUAACCUGGGAACUGCGAUGGAAACUAGCGAGCUGGAGUGUGGCAGAGGGGGGUGGAAUUCCUGGUGUAGCGGUGGAAUGCGCAGAUAUCAGGAGGAACACCAAUAGCGAAGGCAGCUCGCUGGGACGGUACUGACGCUAAGGCGCGAAAGCGUGGGGAGCGAACAGG